rnacentral:rRNA from 1 species
GGAUGAAAAUCGGACUUAGUGAUCCGGUGGUUCUGCGUGGAAGGGCCAUCGCUCAACGGAUAAAAGCUACCCUGGGGAUAACAGGCUUAUCUCCCCCAAGAGUCCACAUCGACGGGGAGGUUUGGCACCUCGAUGUCGGCUCAUCACAUCCUGGGGCUGUAGUAGGUCCCAAGGGUUGGGCUGUUCGCCCAUUAAAGUGGUACGCGAGCUGGGUUCAGAACGUCGUGAGACAGUUCGGUCCCUAUCCGUCGCAGGCGUAGGAAAUUUGAGAAGACCUGUCCUUAGUACGAGAGGACCGGGAUGGACGUACCUCUGGUGUACCAGUUGUUCUGCCAAGGGCAUGGCUGGGUAGCUAUGUACGGAAUGGAUAAGCGCUGAAAGCAUCUAAGCGCGAAGCCAACUUCAAGAUAAGAUUUCCCACCGCAAGGGUAAGACCCCAGAAAGACUAUCUGGUUGAUAGGUCGAAGGUGUAAGUGCAGCAAUGUAUUUAGCUUAUCGAUACUAAUAGGUCGAGGACUUGACCAAAUU